rnacentral:lncRNA from 1 species
AGGUAAGGGGAGGCGAGGCCGUCCAAAAACGCUGGGUGUCAGCCCGGGGUGGCUAAUGGAGGGCGGCUUUUCUGGUGGGAUGAAAUGGAACGGCAAAUCCCACUUCAUCCCCUUUGGGCUAUGACAACAUCAUAGUCCAAUCUCCCAUUUUAUGAACAGGGAAACUGAGGCUCAGUGACUAGACAGACGUUGCCCAGAGUCAUGGUCAUGGAGGAAGCUUGUGCUAGAAUGGUGGAGAGGAAACCAGAGCCCAGCUCCUAAUGCAAGGCUCUUUCAUUCCUUUAGCCACCCUCGCCCCCGCCAAAACAAACAGACAAAAAACUGUCAUUCUCAUAUGACCACGGACUCUGCGCCCCGGCCGCAGGCGGAGGACAGGGAGGAGCGCACACGAGAAAGCUCCCACGCGCCCGCGCCUCGCCUCCGACGGGAAGGCGCCUCUUCCGACCGUCCUGGAUGCAAAUUAAAUACUUCCCUCCGCAGAAGACUUAUCUCGGGGUAGGGCCGCAGCCGGAUUUCCAAAUCGCGGGUUUGAUUUUCGCUGCGUCCUCUCCGCGACGCGCGCAGGGAGCGCGCCCGGCCACCUGCAGCCUCUGGCUGCGGCCAUCUUUCCGCCUGGGGCCACCUGGCCUGCGCCCUUUGUGCCCGGCCCGCUCCGUGACUGUUCUUCUUGCCGCUACUUACAGAACUCAGCCGCCUUAGCGUCUUAGAGAAGAGGACGGCAUGCAUGCGGACCCCGUCCACCACACCUGGAGAGCAGGGAGCCCUUAGUCCCUGGACACUUACCAGGGCCGCCACCCCUGGUCCACGCACGUGAUGACAUCUCACCAGGGGCAGCACACCGCCCGAGUCCGCGACACUGAUAACACCUCCUGCGGGCAGGAGGGCGCCACAGCCACCCCUGGUCCCCUAGAUUGUGUGAGGCUAGCAUUUCUGCCCGCCUCUUGGCGUGGACAGCACGCUGGACCGAGAUGGAACCACAGCUUUCUCUUCCCAAUCCCUGGCCUCACCGUUUUGUUUCAUACCUCACCGUUUGUUUCAAACCUCGUGGUGUUGAAAUGAUUAAAUGAGAUUAAGGGGUGUGUGGUAGUGUUGGGCAAACCACAAGAAAACGGUCUGGGUGGGGUCUGGCCCUAAAAUCUUCCUCCCCCACCUCCCAGGCUUCCUUGCCUUGCUGCUUCCUCUCAGCCUUUAAACAGGUUGGCCUCUCCAAGUCCUAAAAACAAAAUUAUCAAGCCAACCUCCUCCUGAAGUGCUCCCUCCAACUAGCUUCCAAGUGUUUCAUGCGGACCUCAAACAAUGGUCUUCCCUGGCUGCCUCUGCUUCCUCAUUUCUCAACACUUGGCAUUCUGGCUUCUCCUCCCCAACUCUAACCCUUCACCUUGCUCAGGCAAGAGCAACUCAUGACUUUCAUUUUGCCAAACCUUGCAGGCAUUCCUCAGGCCUUAUCUCUCUGGUUCUUUCUGCUACAUUUGACACCUUGGGAUGACUCUCACCUUCUGGAAUCUCUCUACUACCUUGGUUUCAGAAGAGUGAACCCUCUGGAUUAUCACAUGAAGCUACUUCCUGUGAGCAGCCCAGGGAUGGCCAGUCACUUGUGACCUACUUUCAGAGCUGGCAGUUCUGACUUCUAGAACAAACUCGGAACAAGCCCAUCUACAGCUGGUUGACUGAGUUUCCUUUGGGCUCCUGGCACCAGAAAGAAUUGCUCACUGGAAGGAUCAUAGGUGGCACUCAUGUCUCACUGCCCCACUCAGGCGGAGUGCGGUGACUCUCGCCUAUAAUCCCAGAAUUUUGAGAGGCCAAGGUGGGCAGCUCACUUGAGCUCAGAUGUUCGAGACCAGCCUGGGCAACAUGGCAAAACCCCAUCUCUACAAAAAAUACAAAAAUUAGCCAGGCAUGGUGGUGUGCACCUGUAGUCCCAGAUACCUGGAGGCUGAGGUGGAAGGAUCACUUGAGCCUGGGAGGCAGAGGUUGCAGUGAGCCAAGAUCACAUCACUGCACUCCAGCCUGAGUGACAGUGAGACUCUGUCUCAAAAAAGGAAAAAAGAAAAGAAAUUAAAAUUAAAUAAAUUUUAAAAA